GAGAGAGAGAGAACACGUGAGCAUGUGAGUGAGGGGAGGAGCAGAGGGAGAGUAUCUCAUGCAGACUCCAAGCUGAGCACAGAGCCCAUCCAGGGCUCCACCUCACAACCCUGAGAUCAUGACCUGAGCCAAAACCAAGAGUCGGGGCUUACCUGCUGAGCUACCCGGGUGCCCCUUGUGCACCUAAGAUUUCUUACUGAUGGCACAAAACCUACUAACUUUAUCAGUAAUUCACCCUUACCCUAACCCAGCAAAGAAAGAAAGAAAAGGAUGAGGAAACAGGAGAGCAAAAGAAUUUUGAAAGCUCUGGUAAAUAAUUAAACUGGUAGCCGUAGAUUUACCAAAAUUGUCAAUAACAUCGCUUGCUUCCCCCACAGAAAUCCUCUAUCCCAAGUACCUCACAAAGCCUCUUCUGCAUUAAACGCCACAUGAACACAAAAACAUAACUGCUUCACAAGGUCGUCAUAGAGAAAUAGUGUGACUAAUCAUAAGUGUCCACUCAAACAGCCUUCAAUAGAAGUGCAAACAUCUCUUUCUAAAAGGAAUUUAAAAUGAUUGAGUCAUACAUUUUUGAAGCAAAAAUGAUCAUGUUUUACACAUUAAAAGUUAUGGGAAUUAACUCAAUCAUCUACAAAUGUAUUAAGAUCUACCUGUUUGUUGAAGUUCCACGUGUCAAAAAUCAGUAUUAUAUAUAUUAGUAUUUAUAGGACAUGUUAUUUUGAAUUAAUUUAUGUUUCCCUGGGCCACUGUUUUAUAGUCACCUUUGAUUAAAGUGCCUUAAAUUAAAUAUUAAUUGAAUAUAGUUUGAAACAAAGUUUCUUUGAGCCACACUGACCUCUAGAGACAUAGAGGGAUUACAAAGACACUCAGUGAAACCAAAUUCUGCCUUCACAAAAUCAGUGUGAAUAUAAUAAAAGGAUUUAUUUGGGGGCAUAAUGAUGGACUAUCCUCUGAGCUUCAUGCUAUACUCCAUUGAUUAGGCACACUGCAUUGCGUGUUAUUAAAUUUUCACUGCAAAGAUAAAAAGAAGGAGGCAAAGAGAAAGACUUUAGAGCUAAAAGGAGCUUGAAAAUAAUUGAAAUUGUUCAAAUCUAUACAAUGGAAAAGGCAAUGAACUACAUAUUCUGAGAUCUGAGUUCUAGUUCUGUUUUGUCUGCAUAAUACCUGUGUGACCUUGGGCAGAUUAUUUUUCUCCUGGAAGCUUCCUUUUUCCUAUCAACUCAAAGAGGGCUUGACCUACUCUGUGCUAAGUGCAAACUAAGAAAUGUUAACAAUUUCUUUUCUAAUCUUAAAAACAUCCACCUUUUUUUAAAAAAACAUCUUCUAUUGACUCCGUAAUUCAAUAUUUAGACUGGUCAGGGCAGUAUCUUAUUGCUGAAGAUGAUUAUAGGAGUUUCCCAAGGUAAUGUAUUUUCUCACAUUUCUGGAAGCCAGAAGUCCACAAUCAAGGUGUCAGCAGGGCCACGGCUCCCUCGGAGGCUCUGGAUUGAAUCCUCCCCUUGCCUCAGUUUCCAGAGGAGCCAUGAGCUGUCCUCGUUCCUCGGCUUGUAGCCACAUCACUCCGACCUCGUCCUUCAUCGUCGCACGCUGCUCUCCCUGUGGCUCCCCUCUUCUUACACGGACACCAGUCACACUGGGUCAAGGGGCUGCCUGACUCUGGUGUGACACCCCCACACACACUUAACUCAUUAUACCUGCAAUGACGUAUUUCCAAAAAGGUCACAUUCUGAGUUAUUGGGGUUAGUACUUCAUAUAUCUUUUGGGGGAACAGGAUUUCUUACAGCAAUGACAGGGGAAAUGUGUAGUCAGGGAAAUAGGACGGUUUUAAGAGAAGUGAUGUCAUUGGCAAUCCGGGACAGAUGUACAAUGAAUGCUUUCCUUGAGUGAGGAGGUCUCUACUGGAGAACUCCCUGGCAAGGCAACAUUUCUUCCGUGAAGAAAGGACACGGCCUAAGGCCAGCAAAGGUGGCUCAGACGCGAGCCCGCGUGGUCGCUGAAGGGAAGCCUGCUGCAGAGUAGCUGCUUCGUGGAGCCCAGGCUGGCCUCGGAGGCCUUGUCCUGCGGAGGUCCCCGCCGCGAGGAAGCUCUGAAAAUCCGCUUUGCCCUUCUGAGUCAGGAACAUUUUUAAGGAAUGUUUGUGUUUUCCUCUUAACCUUUGAUAAAUGGGAAGGAAACGGAGAAGAUAACCCUGGAAAAGCUUGUACCGCCAGACAGCAAGGCCGCUGUAGCUCUCACAGAGGACUGGGGCGUCAGAGGACUCAGGAGACCACAGCAAGGGGUGUGCACUGGCCAGGGAUGCUGGAAGUUGUGCAUCGAUAAGAAUAACAACAACAGUUGAUUAAAACACAUCAAAUUUAUUUAAAUCUCAUUAGUCCCAAAUAAUACCUAAGUGGAGGUUGGGGGAAGAAAGCCCUUAUUUUUCUCUUAGAGACUGAUAGGAAACCACGUCUUAUACAUAAAGGGGAAAAAAUAAAAUACUGAUUCUGCCUCUACCACUCAAACUAUACCACCAUUUUAGCCAAACAGUGGACAAGGGCAUGUGUUUCUUUAGAGAAGAACUUCAGUAAAUAAAAGUAAUGAUAUGAUAUCACCAGUAUGUGACUUCUGAGGAACUGGAGGCUGCUGGGAGACACGUGGUGUCUAAGAACAAAGACUACGAACACUAAAAACAAUACUUCUGAGUAUCAAUAAGUGACACAUGUCCAAUGUGCCCUCCUACCAGAGGAUAAGCAAACGCCGAGAUACCGAGAAGCAAACCAAAUGAGAACACCUCGUGGAGUGGAUGCAGCUCCGUGGUGAAUGUGUUUGUUCUCUGCAUAUUCUUUGAAUGAGCAACCAAUUGACAAUCUGUGACCCAUAAACUCCUAGUUGUACAAUUGGGAACAUGUGUUCGUUACACCCAGAUGAAAAUAAAAACCUGCCAGUGCUUCCGGUUUAAGAAGGAAUUCUCCUACUCUCUCUCUCACCCACAAGCUUACUUCUCGUACUUUCUGAAACCUCACUGAAAACUGCAAACGAGCCUCCAAGGGGGUGGGGGGCAACUAAAGGACAGGGAAUCCCAGACUUCACAGAUCUUUGGGAAACAUUAAGCAGAGGAAAGGAAGUUGGGAGGACAUAGGGCACGGAGCCUAGGGGGUGCAGAACCUCCAGACACAGCAGGCAGCACAGGUGAGAAGCCAACCCCUGCCCUCUCACUCCCCUGAAGCGCAGUCUGUCACAGUAAAUGCGCCGCCUAGUUGUAGGGCGAUGCCAGUCAGGAUCCCUACUCCGGGGGAGACCCUCAUACCACGGCAGAGAAACCUGCUCUAGCCACAGAGGCAUCGAUCACUGAGGGAAUAAAAGAAAUAGGAGCUUAACGAUAUUAUUUACAGGGACAAGGGUAGCCUUUAAGAACCAAAUAAUAUAACAGGGGGGCGGGGGGAGAAAAGAAAGGCAGUGACAAAGGGAAAAAGAACAUGCUAGGUAGAGGGACAAACAAAAAGUGAGAGAGAAAAUGACUCACAUUUGGGAACUGGGAGUAUUUCAGCAAAGCCAGUCUUUGGAGUGUCAGGGAGUUGAUGAGAGGGGAGGAGUCUGGAGAAGAAACUAAAGGCCAGAGCUUCGUCAUACCAAGGAGCAGCUCCAGCUCUAUCAUGAAAAUCCCAAGGACUUUUAAACAUACAUAAUAAUGUGGUCAGAUUUUGCAUUUCAGAAACAGGCCUCUGGCUUCUGUAUGGGGGUUUCUGGUGAAUAAGUCUGGAGACAAGGAAACCACUUAUGUGGCUGCUGAGAUCAUCGGGGAACAAAAGAGAACCAAUCGCUAAACUAAGAAAUCGGGCCUGCAGGAAUGCUUUGCCAACUUGAGCACGCACCCAAAUCACCUGGGAUACUUGUUAAACUACGGUCCCGGGGAUCCCUGAGUGGUGCAGUGGUUUAGCGCCUGCCUUUGGCCCAGGGCGCGAUCCUGGAGACCCGGGAUCGAAUCCCACAUCGGGCUCCCGGUGCAUAGAGCCUGCUUCUCCCUCUGCCUGUGUCUCUGCCUCUCUCUCUCUCUCUGUGACUAUCAUACAUAAAUAAAUAAAUAAAUAAAUAAAUAAAUAAAUAAAUAAAUAAAUAAAAUAAAAUAAACUACGGGUCCCUUUAAGCAAGAGUGUCUCCUUCAGUAUGUUUCAGGUGGGCCUCAAGAAUUUGCAUUUCGAGUAAGUUCCCAGGUGAUGCCAGUGCUACUGGUCCAGGGGCCCCACUUUGAGCACCACAGGACUGUAGGAACAGAAGGAGAUGUGAGACAGCAUGGUGUUGAAGAGAAAGGACGAGUCAUGGUUCUCUACUUUCUACCUCCAGCCACCGGGACUUGGUGGUGUCCGUCAUCAAGGCAGAGAAUACGGAGGAAAAGCAUAGCUGAUGGGGGCAGGGAAGUGGUGCAUAGCGAGAGAGCCAGGGAAGCACUUACCAAAUUUGACUUCCGCAUUGAACGUCCCAGUGGAAUCAUACAGCAGGCAAUUCGCAGAGUUCUGCACAAGGGCAGGCAGAUGUGGGUUAGAAGGAAGAUGUAAGAACCCGCGGCAUAUGGAGGAUAAAGUCAUGAAGAACAAAGUCAGUGGGUUACGUGAGAAGUGAAGAGGUUAAAUCUUGGGGAACAUAAAAUUGAGGAAGGAAAGGAACUGGCCCCACUACAGUCCACUGAGAACGACGAAGUGGAGGAUAUCCCAUGGCUACAUGUUGGUCAACGCGAAAGAUUUAAAAUAAUCAGAGCCUAUCAGUAUAGGCCCAGUUACAUAAAUAGGACAGGCUCUGCAGUAGAAUUCUUUGCAGCUGUUAAAAAAAAAAAAGGAAUAAUAAGUACUUUACUAAUAGGAAAAAUAUCCUAAAUCUAUAUCAAUAACUGGGAAAAAAGCCAGUUGCAGAAUAGUGCGUUUAGCCAACCGUUUGAUGAAAUAUAUAGAUAUGUGUAUAUAUUUGCUGUGAUAGACACAGAGUAUCUCUGGAAAGAUACACAAGAGAUUUACACUCAGGGGUGGGGGACAUAGUGGGGAAUAUGGUGACUGAGGCAGAAAACUCAAGACAGAAUUUUUACCCCAAAGUCCAAAUGCCCCAUCAGCCACCAGGUAUAGACCUAAUGUUAAGAUGGAACCAGGGCAGCCCCGGUGGCCCAGCGGUUUAGCGCCGCCUUCAGCCCAGGGCGUGAUCCUGGGGACCUGGGAUCAAGUCCUGCGUUGGGCUCCCCGCAGGGAGCCCGCUUCUCCCUCUGCCUGGGUCUCUGCCUCUCUCUGUGUCUCUCAUUAAUAAGUAAAUAAAAUUUUUUUAAAAAAUGGAAGCAACAGAGCCUGAUGCUAUUGAAUAUUUAAAUCACAAAAACUAUUCUUCUGAUUUCCUGAUCACCCAAUUCUGAAACUUCCUCCAGAGACUUCAUUCUGCAGACUGUCCAGCUGACAAGGGUAUAGCAAGUUGUAGAGUGAAGUGAUCACCGUCGCUCUACUAUGGCUUUAGGUAUCCAUCUCCUGCAAGCUUUGCCAACUCGAGGCACCAUCCUGGGGUUCCAUCAAUUCUGGGGGAUCACAUGGAGAUUCUACAGGGGUAGGGGCUGAAUCUUGGAUUUGAAUAAAUUAACCAAGGUAAAUUCUUCCUUGUUUGAUUUCUUUUUUUUUUUUUUUAAUAUUUAUUUAUCUAUUCAUGAGAGACAGAGAGAGAGAGAGGCAGAGGGAGAAGCAGGCUCCCUGCGGGGCCGGAUGCAGGACUCGAUUCCCAAUCCUGGGAUCAGGCCCGGAGCUGAAGGCAGACGCUCAAGCACAAGCCACCCAGGUGUCCCCCUUGUUAGACUUCUUGGCAGUCAGUCAGCUGGUCCCCCCAGCCACACGCCACCAGCACCAGGAUGUAAAAUCCAAGUGUCUAGAAAGAACGAAGUUUGUGUAUAGUAUCCCUUACCUUAUCCCUUACCUUAUCUCUAUGACACAGACGUCCUUGACUGACACCCAAUUUACCAAUCCACUGGUGAAUUCCCUGGAACUGUGAGCUCCGCCCUCUCUGAGCCACAUGGCCUUCCCAGAGAUCACCAGGAUAGUUCCACCAAGUAGGUCUUCCUGCCGAGAAUGAGAACUACACCGUGUAGGUAAGUGUAGACUUGCCAGGACCCACUACCAAACCAUCAACUUCCUGAGGAAAAGAGCUGCCUAAUGGUCUUUGUAUUCCAGAGAGGUAGUAGGGUACCUCACGCAGCGUAGACAUUCGACACGCUCCCCUCGCGUUGCCCUGAAUUCCCUGCUAAUAUAUUACCUGCCCAGAUAAGGCAAUUACUUAAGCCACUUUAAUCAAGGUCCUUACAGAAUUCUCUUUCAGGUGUGGCUUCUAAUCUAGUAAGGGAGAUAUUUUUGCCUGUAGGCCUUUUGACACCCUUUAAAUGAAAUCAGAAAUGAAGCCAGUUACUGAAACCACUUAUACAAUCUGCUUCGAUAAUAUACUGUUAUCUGGCAAGGUCUGAAAAUGGGUUUUCUAUUUUAGGUCAUAGAGACUCUCGACGUUUCAACAUACAUGAAAUAUAUAGAUGGAUAUUUUCCAAAUCG
rnacentral:lncRNA from 1 species